ACCGGCACCGUGGUAGAUUCAUCUCUAACCGGAAGAGGAGGGGUUUGUUCCCAGGCCUGACUCUGAGCGAACACAGAAGAAAGUCAGUUUGUUCUCUUGUCCACCAGAGGCCCUGCCUAUCCUCUUGGGAUCAGAAAACUAUGAAACUGGUGAUAUUCACGGCAGAACUGGAGUGGAUUAACCAAGAUGGUUCAUGUGGAGGCCUUUCCACACCCUCUUGUGAUUUCGUCUAAACAGGGAAGCCAGAAGCUCCAUGAUCCGGUUCUUCUUGAUUAAUUUCCUGUGCAUUUCCCAAGUUCUUCUUCUGUUGUUCGGAUACAAUUUUCUCCUGUGUCAUUUCUGCUUUUCCUGCCUAUAGCGAAAUUGUAACCAAGUUGAUCCUUUGUAUCCAUUUCUUCUUUUCACUCUUGGUUUAUAACCUGUCCUUGUAGCUCAUUGAGUA